UUUACUCACUCUUCUUCUACUAACUACUUGCUCACGAUAGUUUUAGAGAAAACUGCUGUGGAAAACUCGGCCAGAAGCUAGUUCAGAGAUGAUUGUUGGGGUGAAUAAGUAUCGUCUGGAGAAAGAGGUGUUCGUGGAUGUGCUGGCUAUUGACAACACCAACGUACACAACAAGCAGAUUGACUAACUAAAGAAGGUGAGGGCGAGUCGUAAUGCUGAGGCUGCUAAGAGGUGUUUGGCGACUAUAGAGGAGUGUGCUCGUACCAGGGAGGGGAACCUGCUGAAGCUGGCUGUAGAGCCUGCCAGAGCCAGAUGUUCUGUAGGGGAGAUCACGGAUGCCAUGAAGGCUGUGUUUGGGGAACAUAAAGCCAGCACCAGAAUGGUGAGUGGAGCGAGUUUGGAGAUUAUGAGGAGAUCUCUACAGCACACAACCGGGUGGUGGAGUUUAAGGAGCAUGAGGGCAGAAACCCUCGUCUGCUGGUGGCCAAGAUGGGCCAGGACGGCCAUGACAGGGGGGGGCAAAGGCCAUCGCCACGGGAUUUGCCGAGCUGGGAUUCGAAGUCGACAUUGGACCGCUUUUCCCGGUUGAACUUAGUAGCUAGCUAGCUACUGGACUUGGGAAAUAAAUACUCUUUCAAUUCUCUUCAAGUCUUCAUAGAACUCCAGGACAGCAUGUGGAGAUCAACCGAGGCAGGGAUUCAAACCAAAGCAGAAAAACAACCUGUGUACUGCGAUUAAGCCGUUAACAGCGAAUGUGACCUCUGCCAUUGUCUGGGAAGUUGCCUUUAUAUUUAAAUCUGUUGUUUUUCAUAGGUUGUUAAUUUGCUUUGGAUUGAAUCCUGGCCUCAAUGUCAUUUUAUUCAUAAUUUAACUAAUUCUUACAGGUUAAGGCAGUCAAUCACAGAUCAGCUACAAUGAUCACGCUAUGGAACCCAGUGUGCUAACAAUGGCCCUCUAAUACAGCAAUGUUAACAUGUGCAGACAUACCACAUAACACUCGUAUGUGGAAAAAGGUGGGCCAUACCUGGUAAAGCCUCCUUUCAAAUGAUUAAAGCUGUAAUUCAUCUGUGUCUGUGAGUCAUUCUGGUCCACUCCAUGGAAGGCAAAUACAACCAAAACAUUCCCUACAUAGGCAUACCAACUUCAAAGCUGCAUACCGGCCUGUUAAGCUACAGUUUCACCACUGUUUUCACAAUAAGGCUAAUCUCAAUCUUAUGUUCUGUUAUUGGUGCUCUAGUAGCUA